AAACUAACUAGGAUGCCUUCAGUAACGGCGAGCGAAGCAGGCAUAGCUCAAAUUUGUAAUCUGUCACCUCUGGUGUCCGAGUUGUAAUUUCUAGAAGCGAGUUCGGCGACAGCUCCUACCAAAGUCCGUUGGAACGCGGCAUCAUGGAGGGUGAGAAUCCCGUGAGAGGUAGGAUGUCUGCUGCUAUGUGAACCGCCUUCGAAGAGUCGAGUUGUUUGGGAAUGCAGCUCUAAAUGGGAGGUAAAUUUCUUCUAAAGCUAAAUAUUGGCCAGAGACCGAUAGCGAACAAGUAGAGUGAUCGAAAGAUGAAAAGAACUUUGAAAAGAGAGUUAAACAGUACGUGAAAUUGUUGAAAGGGAAGCGCUUGAGAUCAGACUUCCUGUCUGGACUGUCCUUGCUUCUGCUCGGGUCAACAGUCCAGGCGUGGAGGCCAGCAUCAGUUUUGACGGCCGGAUAAAGGCCUUGGAAAGGUAGCUCCCCUCGGGGAGUGUUAUAGUCCAGGGUGUAAUACGGCCAGUUGGGACUGAGGACCGCGGCUCUGCCUAGGAUGCUGGCGUAAUGGUCUUAAGCGAC
rnacentral:rRNA from 1 species